GACGAACCGUGCGAACGUUGUUCGGAAUCACUGGGCUUAAAGGGCGCGUAGGCGGUCUGCCAAGUCCGGGGUGAAAGCCCCCAGCUCAACUGGGGAAGUGCCUUGGAUACUGGCGGACUCGAGGGAGGCAGGGGAGAACGGAAUUCCUGGUGUAGCGGUGAAAUGCGCAGAUAUCAGGAGGAACACCGGUGGCGAAGGCGGUUCUCUGGGCAUGUCCUGACGCUGAGGAGCGAAAGUGUGGGGAGCGAACAGG
rnacentral:rRNA from 1 species